rnacentral:rRNA from 1 species
AACGAACGCUGGCGGCAGGCUUAACACAUGCAAGUCGAACGGUGUAGCUAUACACAGUGGCGCACGGGUGAGUAACGCGUGGGAACGUGCCCUUCAGUACGGAAUAACGUCGGGAAACUGACGCUAAUACCGUAUAUUCCCUCCGGGGGAAAGAUUUAUCGCUGAAGGAUCGGCCCGCGUUAGAUUAGGUAGUUGGUGGGGUAAUGGCCUACCAAGCCUACGAUCUAUAGCUGGUCUGAGAGGAUGAUCAGCCACACUGGAACUGAGACACGGUCCAGACUCCUACGGGAGGCAGCAGUGGGGAAUAUUGGACAAUGGGGGAAACCCUGAUCCAGCCAUGCCGCGUGAGUGAUGAAGGCCUUAGGGUUGUAAAGCUCUUUUGUCAGGGAAGAUGAUGACGGUACCUGAAGAAUAAGCACCGGCUAACUUCGUGCCAGCCGCCGCCGUAA